GGAAGUAUUACUAGUAGAUGUCAAAAGCAGGAGUUGGAAUCUUAUGGGUAAUUAUUGGUCAUUAAUAUCUACUGGAUGUUACCAACAACAUAUGUAGUGGCAACACUAAAAACGAUCCCUAAGUGUUUUCACACAGAGUGAUAUUUGGUGUCUCUUUCUCCCAUAACUGAGUACUGUGGCAAAAGAUAACAAGGGAACAAUGUUGCAAUGGAUAUACAAGUUCAAGCAGUAGAUAUCUCACUCAAGAGCCACGGGAAGUCUACAGAUAAGUAAACCACAAGAUUAGACCCACAAGAUUGUUUACCACUGCCUGCCCAAUGCCAG